ensembl:lncRNA
CGGGGCUCUCAAUCCUGAUCCGCUGCGUCGGUGACUGUUGAGUGCCCCUGCUCGAGCUUGAAUAAAUGACCCUCGUGUGUUUACAUCGGAAUCAGCUCCUUGGUGGUCUUUGGGGACCUCGCGAUCUGGGCACAACAGAACUACUACAGGGCUGCUGCUGCAGAAAUGAAUAAUUGCCCUAAAGAUCAUCUGGCCUGCAAAACUGAGUAUGUUUACUAGCUGGCUCUUCACAGAAAAAGUGUGAGGACUCUGUCUGCCUUAGGACCACCACUCCAAGGAGGAUGGCAGUUAGGAUGGCCCUGCUUCGUUCGGGCCCUAUCAUGGGAACUCAGGGCAGAGCGAUGAACACGGACAGGGAGGAGUGCCUGUUCUCAGGGGCUGGCCAUCCUACUGGCGGGAGCAGGAGGAAACACCUAAGAGCACUGGAUAGCAUGUUCCUGACAAUUCAGAGUAGAGACCAGUAAAUCCAGUGAUGUGGGGAAGCAUGUAGAGCCUUGGUUGAGUUUAUCAUAACAGAAGCGACUGGAAUCCAUCUAAAUGUCUAUGGGAAAGAGCCAGCAAGUCAAGAAAAAUGAAGAAGAGGGGAGAUAAUCAAUAGUGUUACAUUCCUAAUAAAGCAAGAAGAGGCAUAGCUCAUCCAUACUAUCAGUAAGCAAAAAGGAUCGUAGAAUAUUGGUGUAAGAUUCCUAUAAAGUCUUGGUCACUUGAAUGAUGUCUUCCUCUGGAUUCUGUGGGAAUGCGGCUUUCUCCCUAUAUUGAUCUUGUUGUGACCAUUUAGGCUUAAGAGAAGACAUCGUAUGUCUGUCCUUUAAUGUCCUCCAAAGUGAUACACUUAAGAAUAGAACUGACUUGGAUUCCCAGGCCAAUGUUCUUUCCCUACAUUAUAUAGUUGUUGUUGAACACAGUGUUCUUUAAAAUUAUCCUCAUUAUUUAAAAUUGCUGAUUAACAAUUUUCUCUGUACUUUGUACCUUCCAUCUGCCAGUUUGGUUUGGAGCUGGUUUCUGCAUAUGAAAUUAGUCUGAAAGCCUAGAACUUCCUUGCCCAGAAGUCUGAAGCAGCUCUCUUCUCCCACUUCCUACUCAAUGUUUCUUCAUCACUCACCACUCGGUCCUACUUUCUCAUCAUACUACACCUUGUAAUUAGCUUGUUUGGUUGCUUACUUGUGCAUGAUUUGACUGACUCCCUGUGAGACUUUGAGUCCCAAGAAGAUAUGGAAUUUCCUUUUUCUGAUUCUCACACCCAGUUCUGAAUGGCAUGAAACAUUAUGCCUUGCAUAAUGUCACACCAGGCAUCUGUGAGGAUUUAACACUUGUCCUUUUCCAAGGAUUAGAAUUUGUAUCAAAUAAAUAAAAAACUCACUAAAUGAGGUCCUCAUAAUAGGAUAGUGUGCUUUUCUUCAUUCAUUUUUUAAUCAAAUAUUUAUUGAAUUACAAUACUUAUCGGACUGUGCACUGGGCUAGGUGUUUAAAGUACAACAAAAGAAAGACAUGGUCCCUGGCUUCAAGGAGCUCACAAUCUAAUAAAGAAAGAGACAUGUAAACAAAAAUAGAAACAUGAGGUUCAACAUAGAAUAUUUGCCAACUGUAUAAAUCAUCCCUACCUUCUCAUCCCUGGCUUCGAUUGAGUCAUCCAAGGGUUGCACUGGUUGCAGGCAACUAUACAGUGGUCAAUGCCAACGCACAACCCCAUAGCGCAAGCAAACGAUUUUUAAUGCAGGGCACUUUUGGGGUUACAUUUUAACAUCUGUUAAAUAGGACACACGUGUGUAAAUACCUAAUAGUUUCUCUAGUGUGAGAAGCUGAAAGUGUAAACAAGGACUAAGCGGUAUAAUAGAUAAUGUGAAAUAGGAAGAAAAGGGGCA